rnacentral:lncRNA from 1 species
UACAAAUUUGUCUUGACCGUCACAUCCUCGAUUCUGGUGGGCAGAUCAAGUAGUUAACCCCCUUGCUGAAUGUUGCUAAAAGAGGAUGAUUGUCUGACUCAAGUUUCUGCUCAAUAGGUUUAAGUAAAGCUGCAAAGCACAGCACAGCUGUGCACACCCCCAACUCUGUUCAUCCAGAGACCUGAAGAUAGAAGGUGCAGUAAUGACAGGGAAAGCCACAGAGGCCUGUGUUGGGCCAAGGGGUCCCUCAUUCAACAGUUCAGGAGGCCAGAAGUUCAAAAUCAAGAAGUCAGCAGUAGCCUGCUCCCUCUGGAGGCAACAGAGGAGAAACCCACGUCAUUCUCUUCCGGUAUUCAGCUUCCGGUAUUCAUUCAGCUUCCGGUAUUCAUUCAGCUUCCGGUAUUCAGCUUCCCGUAUUCAGCUCCCGGUAUUGGAGUAUUCCUUGGUGUUCCUUAGCAUUCCUUGACUUGCAGACAUCUUCCCAGUCUCCCUUCCAUCUUCACAUGGGCUUCUCAGCUGUGUGGUCCCUGUAUGUCCUGUCUCUUUAUUAGGCCACCCUCAGUGAAUUUAGAAUUCACUCUAACAAAGUAUGAUCUCACGUUGAUCCUUAACGCAUGACAUCUGCAAAGAUCUAUUUCCACGUGACAGUGAGUGGCCUCCCUGAGAGCAGGACUGUGCCAUCCUCAUGCUGUGUCCCCAGUGACUAGCUCAGUCCUCCGCAGACAGGAAGCUCCAAGCAAACGUCUAGUAAAUAAGUGAAUGAAUGAGUGAUCAGAAUGCACUCUUCUUUGUUGGUGCCAUCCCUUAAGCCCUUCUAAGUGUGACUUGUUUUGACUCAAUGGCAAGUCCAUUGACUUAAAUACCUUGACCAGUUCUCUCAUCCUAAAGUGUCUGGGAGUGUACAAAAGCAAAAAGAGAACACCAAGUUGCUUAGUGGCUCUUCUGUUUGUUUUACUUUAGUUGGGUCCCAGAAACUCGAAAAGCCAACAGCCAGGGUGAUUUAGCAAGUCCUGGGAACUUC